UCAGCGUAAAUAUAAAUGCCCCAGCGGAUAGCGCAAGAGCUCCAAACCAAAUGCUAUUGCAAGAUUGCUUUCAGGCAUUGGCACAGUGAAUGUCAGCUGAAAAAUUUUAACCUUUGUUUCUGGAAGUGGAAUGUUAAGAUGCUUUGAUGAAGUGCCACAGAGAUUAUCACUCAAAGAAUGGGUGCAGGCCAACCACCAACACAAGAUAUUAAAAGAACAAUGAAAAUGAAGAUUUAACUAUAAGGAAAAAUCUGAGUAAUGUUAUUACUCAUAACACUUAAUUGUUUCAUAUUAUUGUAAAUUUAUGUGAAUAUUCCUGUAUUCUGUUUAUUUUGCAGCUUAUGUUAUUGUAAAUUCAUGUAUAUGUUUUCAUUUUUUUGCUCUGUUAUGCAUUUCAUACA